AGUGAACGCUGGCGGUAGGCCUAACACAUGCAAGUCGAACGGCAGCACAGUAAGAGUUCGCUCUUACGGGUGGCGAGUGGCGGACGGGUGAGGCAUACAUCGGAAUCUACUUUUUCGUGGGGGAUAACGUAGGGAAACUUACGCUAAUACCGCAUACGACAUACGGGUGAAAGCAGGGGAUCUUCGGACCUUGCGCGAUUGAAUGAGCCGAUGUCGGAUUAGCUAGUUGGCGGGGUAAAGGCCCACCAAGGCGACGAUCCGUAGCUGGUCUGAGAGGAUGAUCGGCCACACUGGAACUGAGACACGGUCCAGACUCCUACGGGAGGCAGCAGUGGGGAAUAUUGGACAAUGGGCGCAAGCCUGAUCCAGCCAUACCGCGUGGGUGAAGAAGGCCUUCGGGUUGUAAAGCCCUUUUGUUGGGAAAGAAAAGCAGCAGAUUAAUACCCCGCUGUUCUGACGGUACCCAAAGAAUAAGCACCGGCUAACUUCGUG
rnacentral:rRNA from 1 species